AUUGAACGCUGGCGGCAGGCUUAACACAUGCAAGUCGAGCGGAGAUGAGGUGCUUGCACCUUAUCUUAGCGGCGGACGGGUGAGUAAUGCUUAGGAAUCUGCCUAUUAGUGGGGGACAACAUUCCGAAAGGAAUGCUAAUACCGCAUACGUCCGACGGGAGAAAGCAGGGGAUCUUCGGACCUUGCGCUAAUAGAUGAGCCUAAGUCGGAUUAGCUAGUUGGUGGGGUAAAGGCCUACCAAGGCGACGAUCUGUAGCGGGUCUGAGAGGAUGAUCCGCCACACUGGGACUGAGACACGGCCCAGACUCCUACGGGAGGCAGCAGUGGGGAAUAUUGGACAAUGGGGGGAACCCUGAUCCAGCCAUGCCGCGUGUGUGAAGAAGGCCUUAUGGUUGUAGAGCACUUUAAGCGAGGAGGAGGCUACUGAGACUAAUACUCUUGGAUAGUGGACGUUACUCGCAGAAUAAGCACCGGCUAACUCUGAGCCAGCAGCCGCCGUAA
rnacentral:rRNA from 1 species